rnacentral:rRNA from 1 species
UACGGAGGGUGCAAGCGUUAUUCGGAUUUACUGGGCUUAAAGGGUGCGUAGGCGGGCUGGUAAGUCAGUGGUGAAAUCUCCAGGCUUAACUUGGAAACUGCCAUUGAUACUAUCAGUCUUGAAUACCGUGGAGGUCAGCGGAAUAUGUCAUGUAGCGGUGAAAUGCUUAGAUAUGACAUAGAACACCAAUUGCGAAGGCAGCUGGCUAGACGAAUAUUGACACUGAUGCACGAAAGCGUGGGGAGCAAACGGG